rnacentral:rRNA from 1 species
GAAGGCAGGUUACUAAGCAACAACUGACGCUGAUGGACGAAAGCGUGGGGAGCGAACAGGAUUAGAUACCCUGGUAGUCCACGCCGUAAACGAUGCUAACUCGUUUUUGGGCUUUCGGGUUCAGAGACUAAGCGAAAGUGAUAAGUUAGCCACCUGGGGAGUACGAACGCAAGUUUGAAACUCAAAGGAAUUGACGGGGGCCCGCACAAGCGGUGGAUUAUGUGGUUUAAUUCGAUGAUACGCGAGGAACCUUACCAAGGCUUAAAUGGGAAAUGACAGGUUUAGAAAUAGACUUUUCUUCGGACAUUUUUCAAGGUGCUGCAUGGUUGUCGUCAGCUCGUGCCGUGAGGUGUUAGGUUAAGUCCUGCAACGAGCGCAACCCCUGUCACUAGUUGCCAUCAUUAAGUUGGGGACUCUAGUGAGACUGCCUACGCAAGUAGAGAGGAAGGUGGGGAUGACGUCAAAUCAUCACGGCCCUUACGCCUUGGGCCACACACGUAAUACAAUGGCCGGUACAGAGGGCAGCUACACAGCGAUGUGAUGCAAAUCUCGAAAGCCGGUCUCAGUUCGGAUUGGAGUCUGCAACUCGACUCUAUGAAGCUGGAAUCGCUAGUAAUCGCGCAUCAGCCAUGGCGCGGUGAAUACGUUCCCGG